rnacentral:rRNA from 1 species
CCUACGGGGGGCAGCAGUGAGGAAUAUUGGUCAAUGGACGGAAGUCUGAACCAGCCAUGCCGCGUGCAGGAAGACGGCUCUAUGAGUUGUAAACUGCUUUUGUACAAGGGUAAACAUGAAUACGUGUAUUCAGCUGAAAGUACUGUACGAAUAAGGAUCGGCUAACUCCGUGCCAGCAUCCGCGGUAAUACGGAGGAUUCAAGCGUUAUCCGGAUUUAUUGGGUUUAAAGGGUGCGUAGGCGGAUUGAUAAGUGAGAGGGGAAAUGUCCGAGCUUAACUCGGGAACUGCCUCUAAUACUGUUGAUCUAGAGAGUAGAUGCGGUAGGCGGAAUGUAUGGUGUAGCGGUGAAAUGCUUAGAGAUCAUACAGAACACCGAUUGCGAAGGCAGCUUACCAAUCUAUAUCUGACGUUGAGGCACGAAAGCGUGGGGAGCAAACAGGAUUAGAUACCCGGGUAGUC